AAANGGAGAUAUANCCCUAGAUUUAGAAUGGCUGGAAUGCUUCUAAAUUGAAAGAUUUAUCGCCUAAGGAUAAGUCUGCGGACUAUCAGGUCGUAGUUAGGGUAAAUACCUGACUAGCCUACGACGGAUACGGGUUGUGAGAGCACUAGCCCGGAGAUGAUAUCUGAGACACGAUAUCAGGCCCUACGGGGCGCAGCAGGCGCGAAAACUUCGCACUGUGCGAAAGCACGACGAGGGAAUCCCAAGUGCUGGCUCGUAAGAGUCAGCUGUUUCUUUGUCUAAAAAACAGAGAGAGUAAGAGCUGGGUAAGACGGGUGCCAGCCGCCGCGGUAAUACCUGCAGCUCAAGUGGUGGCCGCUAUUAUUGGGCCUAAAACGUCCGUAGCCGGUUCUAUAAAUGCCUGGGUAAAUCGUACGGCUUAACCGUACGAAUUCCGGGUAGACUGUUCAACUUGGGACCGGGAGAGGCUAGAGGUACUCCUGGGGUAGAGGUGAAAUUCUGUAAUCCUAGGGGGACCACCAGUGGCGAAGGCGUCUACCUAGAACGGGUCUGACGGUGAGGGACGAAGCCCUGGGGG
rnacentral:rRNA from 1 species